UGGGGAAUAUUGCACAAUGGGGGAAACCCUGAUGCAGCGACGCCGCGUGAGCGAUGAAGGCUUUCGAGUCGUAAAGCUCUGUCCUAUGGGAAGAUAAUGACGGUAACCGGAGAAGAAGCCCCGGCUAACUUCGUGCCAGCAGCCGCGGUAAUACGAAGGGGGCUAGCGUUGUUCGGAUUUACUGGGCGUAAAGCGCACGUAGGCGGACUAUUAAGUCAGGGGUGAAAUCCCGGGGCUCAACCCCGGAACUGCCUUUGAUACUGGUAGUCUUGAGUUCGAGAGAGGUGAGUGGAAUUCCGAGUGUAGAGGUGAAAUUCGUAGAUAUUCGGAGGAACACCAGUGGCGAAGGCGGCUCACUGGCUCGAUACUGACGCUGAGGUGCGAAAGCGUGGGGAGCAAACAGG
rnacentral:rRNA from 1 species